rnacentral:tRNA from 1 species
GGCCCGAUGGUUUAGUGGUAUAAUUCUCGCUUAGGGUCUGCGAGAGGUCCCGGGUUCAAUUUCCGGUUGGACCC